rnacentral:rRNA from 1 species
CCUACGGGCGGCAGCAGUGAGGAAUAUUGGUCAAUGGGCGCGAGCCUGAACCAGCCAAGUCGCGUGAGGGAGGACGGCCCUACGGGUUGUAAACCUCUUUUGCCGGGGAGCAACGGGCGCCACGUGUGGCGCCACUGCGGGUACCCGGAGAAAAAGCAUCGGCUAACUCCGUGCCAGCAGCCGCGGUAAUACGGAGGAUCCGAGCGUUAUCCGGAUUUAUUGGGUUUAAAGGGUGCGUAGGCGGAUCGUUAAGUCAGUGGUCAAAUUGAGGGGCUCAACCCCUUCCCGCCAUUGAAACUGGCGUUCUUGAGUGGAAGAGAAGUAUGCGGAAUGCGUGGUGUAGCGGUGAAAUGCAUAGAUAUCACGCAGAACCCCGAUUGCGAAGGCAGCAUGCCGGCUUCCGACUGACGCUGAAGCACGAAAGCGUGGGGAUCGAACAGGAUUAGAUACCCCUGUAGUC